UUCCACAUGCCUCCGUUUUUAGUUCCUCUUGCUUGUUUUUCCAUGUAUUUUAGUUUCACUGAUAAACUUUUUUUUUAGCAUAUUUCAUUUGUGUUUGUUACCUGCAUGCCUUCCUAGUCAUCUGUCAAGACCCACAUUUUUAGUUUGCAGGGGAUCAACUAAUUUUGUGGUCUCAUUAUAAUAAGAAGCUUUCUUCUUGAAUUUGGUUGAAUUCAAUUGCUUCCAUGAGAGUACUAACUUAGCGGGGUUUUGAGUUCUGAGUCCGAAUCUUUGGUAUUAAAGUGGUGUGAGGUAGAGGGGUUGAUUCCUCAUCCAGGUCUUAUGCAAACCGCUUUUAGAAAAUUAUUAGCCAAAUGAGUUAUUGAACUGUUUUUAGCAUUUUCUUUUUUGCUGUUGUUUUCAACAUAUUGCAAACAUGGAGAUUGGGAAUUGUUUGUCAGUUGCUAACAUUUCUUUUUCCAUGUCUUAUCUACUAUAUCUAAAUGCAUUAGUUGGACAAUUGAAUGGCGGUUUCAUUCAACAGUGUUGUUUUACCAGGCCCUGGAAUAAAUUGAGAACUGUCUAAAGCCUGGGCCAUGGAAUAAUCAUAAGCUCAAGCCUUUCUGUGCAGCGCAGGUGCCAGCUGGGCUCUGUCAAAUUUUCCAUUCCUAAAUAUCCAAAGGUGACUUUUCCAAGGAAGUGGAAUCUGAAGAAAGGAUAGAUUGUUCUGAUUUUGUGGUGGAGUUUUGCCUGUGGAGGAAUCAGAGGAAGGGGUGAUUCCUGGGUGCUGAAUAGUUGAUGCUCAUUGCUCUGUUCAAGAAGAAUAAGAAACUCGGAGUAGAAGGGCAUUCCAUCUCCCUAGGAUUAUCUCUAAAAAUUUUGAUAUUUCAUUUACUCAUCUGGGUUGAGCUCUACAAUUAUGGUAUCUGUUGGUGGGGUUUUUCAAGUUCUGAAAUAGCCUACCUUCUUGAUCAUCAUCAGAUAUCUUGGAGCAUCAACACUGCUGUUAUAGUUAUUUAUGGUCUUGUCAUUUCUGUUAGAUAUCUACUUGUAUGUGUGAGUUUUGAUUCUUGUCAAAGGCAAAAGGAAAAGCAGAAGCUGAAGCUGAAGAUAUCAUGCACAAGAACAGGGGAAUUUUCAUUGAAACUAAUCCAAAUUGUGGUACUCAAUGGUCAAGUCAUUUUGUUUCUCUCCAGUGUAAACUUUCUCUACAAUGAGUAUGAAUCAUCUAUGCAUUAAUCACUUGAAGAUAU